rnacentral:lncRNA from 1 species
AUAGACAAAAAGAAUGCAAUACACAUGAAUAGAUAAUCCCCAUGGCUAAUGGCAGAGCUUUGUUGCAUCUAGCUUCACCCGUUUACUGAAAGUAGAACUUCUCAGUUUGGGCUGAUGUUUAAAUGUUCACCAUUUUGGCCUACAUCAGAAUACUGAGAACAAAACAAUAUUUGCUUAUUAAAGCAUAACACACAACACCUCUUGUGCUAUAGGAGAACACAUAAAGAAAGGGGAAAUUGGACAUAGAAUCGCCAAGUAGGUGAACUGAAAAGCACACAUAACAUGUACUGAAAAAGAACACAACAUCCUUAGCGCUGCGUCGACCACCUGUGGCAAAGGUGAACGGCUUGCGUUGGUAGAGGUGAACAGCUUGAUCGCUGCAUCGUCGCACGACCUCGUGUGGCGGAAGUGAACGGCUUGUGGUGGCAAGGGUGAACGGCUUGAGCGUUGCGUCAUCGAAUGACCUUGUGUGGAAGCAGUGAACGGCCUGGGCCUUGAAGGUUCAAGCAGUGGUGUUGAGAGGUUGUGUGGGACUAUAUUUGUAGUGUCUGAAUAAGUUCAGUAGCUGCUCACCAUGCACACCUACUCAACUGCUUCAUGCCGUCGUCCCUACACACACACAACAGCCACCAAUUAGCAUGCACAAGUUCAUGUAAAAAGAACAACAAUUUCAUGUACAGUAACAUUACAUGUUCACAACGAAACCUAAAAAUAUGUGUACUUUGAAAUACUUCAUUUUACUUCCCAAAUACUUCAUUUUAAAAAAAAUAUGAACUUCUAUAUUUAUUUUCGUAGAACUUAUUAUGUAUUCCCUCCAAACUACAAGAACAUGAUUUGUUUAUUUACCCACAAAAUAUUUUAUUCAAAUAGUUUCCAAAUACUUUCUUUUUUUAUAAGAGAACUAAUGGAAAUCUUGACUGUGCACUUCGGUAUUUUAUUCAGGUGAACUAAUGUACUUGCAAAGUUAACUCAUUCUGGUCCUUUUUUCAUACUGAACUGAUGUAGCCUCUAUACAAUGUAAAAUGGAUAUUGUUGUGAUUACCUACAUGCUGAACUAGUUAAUAUAUUUGCUUUUUUGUUGUGUAUUUCUAUUUAAUUAGACAAAUGGUUGAUUGGCGGUAUUACCACCACAAUUUUCACUAUAUAUACAUUACUGAUCUGAACGCAACAAUAAGAAUAGGCUGCCAAUUUUUUCUGUAAAGUUGCAUGCCUAAAAUGUAGAGAUUAGGGAAGUACCAGGAGACAAACUAAUUUAUUUAGGAAGUAAUUAGAAUAAAGAGCUUUUUAGGAUUACUUAGGGAGUGAAUGCAAGCUUAUUUAGAACAUGCUAUCAAGAAUUCAGCAAGGGGAAUGGAUGUUCUUCAAGAGAAUUCAGGGAAGAGAGCGAGGGGAAACCUUGGCGGCAGCAAUCUGAAGUUGCGGCGACAAAUAUGAAAAUGGGCUUGACCUCAUCGGAGCAUAGGGACUAGGCCAAAGAACUCACCACAGCCAUGUUCGCACCGGCCGUCAACCAUUGGCAGGGAGAUGUAGGCCUUAGCGGCUUGAGACGUCUGAACCUGCAAAACUGGUGACUGAACUGCUAACCCAGGCACACGAACGCAUUCGUUUACCAGUUAAUGCAUCCAUCUCGUUAUUCAAGAAUUACCUUUUAUUGUAUGAACUGCUAACGAAUUAUUUUUUUGCUCAACUGGGGUAGACUUCUGGUUAGUACACGCACAACCUGAGAAGGCAAUGUACAAGUUCUUGUAAAAAGAACAACCAAAGAAGCAGCACUAAUUGCUAGAGAAAAUUGUAUGUGCUUUUUUUAUGAACUGAAAAAAGCUCUUGUUUGUUAGAGAACUGAAGAAAUAAAUAUUGGGGCCCGCUGUAAUGCAUAUAUCCACAAAUUCAGACACCAAAACCAAAGAAAAUAAUAGAACAUAAAUUAGAGAAUGUUAAAUUUCACAUGUCUCAGUUUUUAGCAUCACUUCUAAACCUUUUGUUUUUUACUGCUAUCUAAUCUUCAACAAAUUAUCUAGUUUACUUAUCGUUCUUGUCAAAAGUAAUCAACAUGAAUGAUCUUCACUAGUCACCAUUUUACUCAAACCAUCACACUCAUAUGAGCUUUCUAUUCAAGAUUUCAUGUCCUAUCUUCUUCUAAAAAAAUUGAGGACUUGAACCACAUUUUUUGGAAGCUAUACUGAAAAGCUACCACAUAUACUAGUUUACGGCAAGUAGCUUUCGAACAAAACAUAAUUGAAAGUUGCAAGCAUUUGAAUAGGAGGAAGUCCAACUCAGCUGGAAGCAUAAGGUCAAUCAGUGCAUCAGAAUAAGUACACUCAGCUGCAAGCAUAAGGUCAACCAGAGCAUCAAAAUUGAUGUUUUCCAAUAUUCUUAUUUUUUCAAACUUUCCCAAUUUUCACCGUAUGAACUUCAAGGUUUUUGUUUAUUGAAUUUUCUGGGUUUCCCCAAUUGUACUCUCUUACAGGAUUGCUGUGAGAUAGUGGCGUCGAUGGACUUAGAGGACUACCAUCGGCGCUCAACUUGGAUGGCUGCCAGCAACCAAGGUGGACAGGCUAGUGGUGGUGCCUUAUUUUUUUGUAAAUCAAAGCUCCUACAUUAUGCUAUACUUUCAUGCAGUUCUUCACUCAAACAAUAUUGUAACAACCAACAUAAAAUAGUUUGGGAAAAUCUCUCAUGUUAUCUUAAUUUAUGUAGUGUUGUCCGCAACAGAAAAUUGUGCUACAAAUUGUGUUAGACCAUUCCGCAGUAAUGCCCAGAAAUCCAACAAAGAAUAUGUUAGUACAAUGGAAGUAGUACAAAUGGGAGAACCAUACAUGCGAAAGACUCAUUUCAGAGAGGAACAAAAUAGUGUCAGAAUUAUUAUUUUCCCUACAUGCUACAUUUGCAUCAGAAGAAAAUAGUGUGUCAGAACCAUCACACUUCACAAAUACAUCAUAUAUGUAAUGGAGCAUAACUACUCUUCCUUACAUGCUUCUACAAUUUGAAUCGGCAUAUGGAACUUUGUCGUACUAUUUUACAAAAUUUUCUUUUGUUUUAUUAUACUUAUUUAUUGUUCAUCUCCAAACAACUACUCUGAACUCUAAACUUUUGUGGAGCUCUAAAUUGGGCGGGAAAACAGCAAGCACUUUUCUCAUUCAUUGAUUUGCAAAAAAACUCCUUUCUUUCAUUUUCCCACACAAUAACACAAGCACCACAAUGGUAAGAUCAAAGCUACAGGACCAUACCUUUUCUUCAGCUAGCUACUACAUUGAGCAUUCAACGUGAACUUGUGAUAAGCAAGCACAAAAUCAUGUAGACAAGAAACAGAAUUGUUGAGACUUUUUCAUGUACAGGCAUACAGGAAAUCAUAAAAAGUACUGAUGGUCUAUGUACGGGCAUCAGGCCAGCUGCUGGUUGGAAGUGUCAUUUCAUUUAGGAGGGUGCAUGCAGCCUCUUGGCCCUCGUGGCCGAGGGUAGAGAUGACAAUCUCAAGCCCCGUGGUGCCCUGGGAGCUCGCCCAGUGUAGGAGCGUGAGCAUCCACAAUUCCACAUCCAAGUGGUCGUAGAGCUUAACUCCCCUUUACCAGAAGAUCUAGUAAUUUCAAAUUACUAACAUAGAUCUAGUAAUUUCAGAAUUUUUGCAGCAUACGUGGAGCUUUUCUUCUGCCCGAGCAAUUCAGAAAAAAGCAGGCGGCUAUUUGUUGCUGUAGCACAUACACAUACAUUAUAUAUAGAGAGAGAGCUCGUUACUUUGUUAGGCAGAGAGAACGAGCGUGCCUAAUCUAGAACUGCAGGCGAACCUCGUACGGAUAAUGUUGUGGUCCUGCCAUAAGGUUGCUGCCCUACUGAACUCAAAAUAUUAUAAGAAUUUGAACCGAAUUAAAUUCGUUAAUUGAACUGAACUAAAAAUGUGUUUAGUAAAUGAGAGUUGAAUUGCUGGUCUUUUUUGUGUGCACUAAAGAACUAAUGCAUGGUCAUACAGGAAACAUACCAAAGAACUUGAUAUGUCUGGCAGUGCUCGUGGAGCACGGCGUCCUCGCUGGAGAAGCAGCCCGCCGACACCGACCACCCCACUUCCACCGCCGUCGAGUAGUAGGGCCACCACGGUGAGGAGGACGGCCCAGAUCCCUAGCUUGUGGACGGAGCGGUUGGGCGGCGGCGGUGCAGCCGUGGGACCUCGGGGAAGGGGUAGGCGGCCUAAUCUCGGGGAAGAAGACGACAGAGCGCGACGAGAAGGAAGGUGGCCGGCGCGUGGGGAGGGAGGCGCCCGUCGCGGGGAG